AGGGCAUCUGGUGAAUGCCUUGGCGCUGAGAGGCGAUGAAGGACGUGGUACGCUGCGAUAAGCGUCGGGGAGCCGCGAACAGGCUUUGAUCCGACGAUCUCCGAAUGGGGAAACCCACCUUCGACAUCCCGAACCGUGAGCGCGUGCCGGAUCCUGCGAGGGAUCUGGGGCGUGUUUGCGCUUCGUGGUGUCACAUGAGGGUAUCUGAUCCCUGAACACAUAGGGGGUUAGAGGCGAACGCAGGGAAGUGAAACAUCUAAGUACCUGCAGGAAAGGACAUCAACCGAGACUCCGUCAGUAGUGGCGAGCGAACGCGGACCAGGCCAGUGGCCUUGGAUUGACAAGCCGAACCGUCUGGAAAGUCGGGCAUUAUGGGUGACAGCCCCGUAGGCGCAAUUUGAUCCAAGGUCCUUGAGUAAGGCGGGACACGUGCAAUCCUGUCUGAACAUGGGGGGCCCACCCUCCAAGCCUAAGUACUCCUCAGCGACCGAUAGUGAACCAGUACCGUGAGGGAAAGGUGAAAAGCACCCCGACGAGGGGAGUGAAACAGCACCUGAAACCGGAUGCCUACAAACAGUCGGAGCCUGCCCUCCAAAUUCCUUGGCGGGGCGGUCUUUCUUGUCUCGGCGGUAGCCGGGAAUUUGGAAGACUUUAGAGUCGGCCACCACAAUGCCAAGGCAUUUGGUGGGCCGGGUGACGGCGUACCUUUUGUAUAAUGGGUCAGCGACUUAUUGUUGCGAGCAAGCUUAAGCCGGUAGGUGUAGGCGCAGCGAAAGCGAGUCUGAACAGGGCGCUUCAGUUCGUAGCAAUAGACCCGAAACGAGGUGAUCUAGUCAUGAGCAGGUUGAAGGUGCGGUAACACGCACUGGAGGACCGAACCCACGCCUGUUGAAAAAGUCGGGGAUGACUUGUGACUAGGGGUGAAAGGCCAAUCAAACCUCGAAAUAGCUGGUUCUCCGCGAAAUCUAUUUAGGUAGAGCGUCGGAUGAACACCUUGAGGGGUAGAGCACUGGAUGGGCUAGGGGGUCCCACAGACUUACCAAACCUAACCAAACUCCGAAUACUCAAGAGUGCUAUCCGGCAGACACACGGCGGGUGCUAACGUCCGUCGUGAAAAGGGAAACAACCCUGACCUACAGCUAAGGUCCCGAAGUCGUGGCUAAGUGUGAAACGAUGUGGGAAUCCCAAAACAACCAGGAUGUUGGCUUAGAAGCAGCCAUCAUUUAAAGAAAGCGUAACAGCUCACUGGUCUAAACAAGGGUUCCUGCGCGGACAAUGUAACGGGGCUCAAGCCAUGCACCGAAGCUUAGGGUUUGGCAGCAAUGCCAAGCGGUAGCGGAGCGUUCCGUAGGCCGAUGAAGGGAGACCCGCGAGGGCUCCUGGAGGUAUCGGAAGUGAGAAUGCUGACAUGAGUAACGAUAAAGGGUGUGAGAGACACCCUCGCCGAAAGUCCAAGGGUUCCUGCGUAAAGCUAAUCUGCGCAGGGUUAGCCGGCCCCUAAGGCGAGGCCGAAAGGCGUAGUCGAUGGGAACGGGGUGAACAGUCCCCGGCCAGCAGGUGGUGACGGAUGCCGUGUAUGGUUCCUCCUUAUCGGAUUGGAGGGGCCGUGAAGGCGUUCCAGGAAAUAGCCCCUGCAUCAGACCGUACCCGAAACCGACACAGGUGGACUGGUAGAGCAUACCAAGGCGUUUGAGCGAACUGUGCUGAAGGAACUCGGCAAAUUGCCUCCGUAACUUCGGGAGAAGGAGGCCCUCGUGGCGGGCAACCGCUGCGGGGGGGCACAGACGAGGGGGUGGCGACUGUUUAACAAAAACACAGGGCUCUGCGAAGCCGUGAGGCGACGUAUAGGGUCUGACGCCUGCCCGGUGCCGGAAGGUUAAGAGGAGGGGUGCAAGCUCCGAAUUGAAGCCCCGGUAAACGGCGGCCGUAACUAUAACGGUCCUAAGGUAGCGAAAUUCCUUGUCGGGUAAGUUCCGACCUGCACGAAUGGCGUAACGACUUCCCCGCUGUCUCCAGCACAACCUCAGUGAAAUUGAAUUCCCCGUGAAGAUGCGGGGUUCCUGCGGUCAGACGGAAAGACCCCGUGCACCUUUACUAUAGCUUCACACUGGCAUUCGUGUCGGCAUGUGUAGGAUAGGUGGUAGGCUUUGAAGCGGGGGCGCCAGCUCCCGUGGAGCCAUCCUUGAAAUACCACCCUUAUCGUCAUGACUGUCUAACCGCGGCCCGUCAUCCGGGUCCGGGACAGUGUGUGGUGGGUAGUUUGACUGGGGCGGUCGCCUCCCAAAGAGUAACGGAGGCGCGCGAAGGUGGGCUCAGAGCGGUCGGAAAUCGCUCGUCGAGUGCAAUGGCAUAAGCCUGCCUGACUGCGAGACUGACACGUCGAGCAGAGUCGAAAGACGGCCAUAGUGAUCCGGUGGUCCCUCGUGGACGGGCCAUCGCUCAACGGAUAAAAGGUACGCCGGGGAUAACAGGCUGAUGAUGCCCAAGAGUCCAUAUCGACGGCAUCGUUUGGCACCUCGAUGUCGACUCAUCACAUCCUGGGGCUGGAGCAGGUCCCAAGGGUACGGCUGUUCGCCGUUUAAAGUGGUACGUGAGUUGGGUUCAGAACGUCGUGAGACAGUUCGGUCCCUAUCUGCCGUGGGUGUAGGAGUAUUGAGAGGAUCUGUCCCUAGUACGAGAGGACCGGGAUGGACGUACCUCUGGUGGACCUGUUGUGGCGCCAGCCGCAUAGCAGGGUAGCUAUGUACGGACUCGAUAACCGCUGAAGGCAUCUAAGCGGGAAACGAACCUCAAAACCAGUGCUCCCUAUCAGAGCCGUGGUAGACCACCACGUCGAUAGGCCGGGUGU
rnacentral:rRNA from 1 species